GCGGCGAGCCGGGCCCCUCUGGCGGACGAUGUGUCGAAACGCAUCGACCGUGAUGUCGGAUCGCUCCC
rfam:Erythrobacter sp. QSSC1-22B contig00004, whole genome shotgun sequence.